UUCAAGUAAGAGUGAAGGAUUGAGAGUUAUUGAGAUGUUUAGAGGUGAUAAUUUCUACCAUUGGAAGGUAAAAAUGGAGCUUUUGUUGACGUCUUUGGAUCUUUGGGAUGUUGUAGAUGAAAGUGAAGAAGCUCCAAGCAAAGAUACUGAUAUGAAGGAGAAGAAGGAGUUUAAACGUCGUGAAAAGAAGGCUUUUGGAUUGAUUGCAACCAAUGUCAAUGAAGCCAUUUUUUCCCACAUUAUCUCUUGCAAAGGACCAUCGGAAGCAAGGAAGACUCUUUGCAACAUCUAUGAGAGCAAGAACUUAUCCAACAUCAUCUAUACAAGGAGGAGGUUCUUCACUCUGUAAGAUGGAAGAAAGUGAAGACCUCAUGGCUCAUGUCAAUAAGAUAAAGGCUCUUGCAAACCAACUA
rnacentral:lncRNA from 1 species